GUGGGGAAUAUUCCGCAAUGGACGAAAGUCUGACGGAGCAACGCCGCGUGAGUGAUGAAGGUUUUCGGACUGUAAAGCUCUGUUGUUUAGGACGAAAGUGCCUGUUGCAAAUAGUUACAGGUAUUGACGGUACUGAACGAGGAAGCCACGGCUAACUACGUGCCAGCAGCCGCGGUAAUACGUAGGUGGCAAGCGUUGUCCGGAAUUAUUGGGCGUAAAGAGCAUGUAGGCGGGAAUAUAAGUGUGUUGUGAAAAUGCGGGGCUCAACCCCGUAUUGCGAUGGAAACUGGGUUUCUUGAGUGCAGGAGAGGAAAGGGGAAUUCCCAGUGUAGCGGUGAAAUGCGUAGAUAUUGGGAGGAACACCAGUGGCGAAGGCGCCUUUCUGGACUGUGUCUGACGCUGAGAUGCGAAAGCCAGGGUAGCGAACGGGAUUAGAAACCCUGGUAGUCC
rnacentral:rRNA from 1 species